ACGGGGGUGGCGAGCGUUACUCGGAUUUAUUGGGUGUAAAGGGCAGGUAGGCGUUUCGUUAAGUUAGAGGUGAAAUACUAAGGCUCAACCUUAGAACUGCCUCUAAUACUGGCGGAAUUGAGGCUGUAAGAAGAAAGCGGAAUUCCCGGUGUAAGGGUUAAAACUGUAGUUAUCGGGAGGAACACCAGUGGCGAAAGCAGCAUUCUAGUACAGUACUGACGCUAAUCUGCGUAAGCUCUGGGAGCAGACAG
rnacentral:rRNA from 1 species